UCCCCUUGCUAUUUAUAGAAAUACACACUUAAUACGCAGUGAAGGAGGUUGUUAAUAUUCCCAUAAAAAUCUUGGAUUAUUUGUUAAAGUAUUCACCGGAAUGAAAGAAUAACGCAAUUCGAGUUUCUGUAACCAAAGACAUUGCAUGAACGAAGAGGACAGCUCAAUUCAAAGAAAGCAAAUGGCGGAAGGUCUCUUAGAAUCGCGACGUCAUGACAUAAUGAUGUGUUUAGAGAACUUAAAGCAUGCAUGUCAGUGCACGGACGACGCAUGUCCAGUACGUCAAUGUCACAAGAUGAAAAGGAUCAUAUCCCAUGCCAACUGUUGUAGGGAACGGAACAACGUUGUGUGUCGUGUCUGUUUGCAGUUGAUCAUUUUGUGUUUGUUCCAUGCAAAACAUUGUACUCACAGAGAGUGUAAAAUGCUUUUCUGUUCGCGAAUUAAAUUCAAACUCAAACAGUCUCGAUUAAGAUCGGUAAGAAGGAGUAGAUCUUCGUUAUACAGGAAUAGGUCGACCGCAUCAGUGCUGCAGAUGUCGUCCUCUAACACACCAAUUAUACAGCAGGCGCUGGAGGCUACCCUUCUGGCAUGGAAACCGGAUCAACGACGGCAGACAGAAGAGAUGGCAGACACGUAACUACUUCAAGACAAACAUCCUGAAAGGUGCAUAAUUCGCAAAGGAAACGGGAGUAAACAACAAAAACAAAGCAAAUGGAAGCAAACCGGUAACAAACGGACGCAGAAUCUAACACAAAAUACUGUGCUACCCCAUAAUCCAACGGUUUGACAGUAA